rnacentral:lncRNA from 1 species
UGUUUAUCUUUUUAUUUCAGUUAGUAAUGUAAUAUUUAGUUGAAUUUGAGGAUAAAGUGGCGGUGGUUCUUGAUUGCUGGUUGUAACAAGAAUCAGCUACAUGUUAUUGGCCUCAGGGAAUUGGUGCUACACAAUGGUCAAAAAUGAAAAAAGUUAUUAAUUCCUAAUCACAAAGAUUGGCCUCUUUAUUCUUAUAUAAGAAUAUUGAAAGUUAGAGAUAUAUAAUUUCUAUAUGGUUUUGGAAAGUUUUGAUUAUAUGAUUGUUUCUGCAAAUUAUAAUUUUCCAGACUAUGAAAAAAUGAAAAAGGCAGAGGCUAAAUCUUUGUACUACACAAAUUUUUCUUCAAGUUGUUCAGAAAUAAAACAUGAUUUAAAGAGGAAAAAUUUGCAAACACAUUGGAGUCCUGACAUUUCAAUUGAGAAAAAGGUAAAAAAAUGAAAAUUAAAAAAACAAGAAAAAGAAAAAAUCAUGUAGACAGUCAACUUCAACCACUUCCACAGAUCGAAUUGAUAAACCACCAGCUAGUUCUAGCACAAACAUCACAUCUUCAAUUCUUCCUGAUUUAGUAAAACAAGCUGUGGCUGAUGUUGUUCGACCAUAUUUUCAUAGUGUUAUUAAACAGUUGGAGUCAGAGUUAGGUGUGCAGCGCCAAAAGCAAGUUUCUAUUAAUCAUAAUACAAGUGGAAAUCUUCCAGAAAACUUUAUAUUUCCAUUAAAAGAAAUUGAUGAACUCUUACAGUUAAAUAGCAUUUUUCUGGAAAAUACUGAAUGUCGAUCAAAUGCAGUUAUUUUUUUAUCUCUAAUUGAAGGAAAUGGUCUUGAUGACUGUUUGAGAAAAGUCGCUAAGGAAAUCUUGACAGCAAAACUCUCAAUGCUUUAUAACAUUACAGGAAGAAAAGGGAGGUAAUGGCAGUAGUUCAAUGUUGUAGUUUAUUAAAGAAAUCCACUAGCUGCUUUGGCCUCAGGGAAUAGGUGCCACAAAAUAGGCGAAAUAAGAAAUGCACUCAUAUUAAUAAUAAACACUGACCUUUCUAUCCAUAAUUAUGGUUAUUGAAAAGUGGAGGGUUCGAGCUCAAGCUAAGAAGAAGAACUACAAACGCCACAAACGAUGAUGCAUUAAUCACUUCCUACACCACUACAUCUAUAUGUCUAAUUGUACUUACAUUUCACAAAAGGUUUGGUAAACCAGAGCUGAAAGCUGAUGUUAAUGAGCAGUGGCAGAAACAAGCCUGCAUCGGACAAACCAUUAAUGCACCUCUCUCAGAUGCCUUGACUUUUCCACUCCAAGAGAUAUAUGAUCUUCUGGAAAUCAACCCAAUUGCAAGAUUCUGAGUAGUGAUCAAGAACAGUGCAGUAAGAAAACUAUCCCUAAGCGACAAUUAGUCAACCGGACAAGAUGCUUCCAAAAUGGCUAUCAAGUUCAAUUGACAUGGAUGGUCUCGAAAAAAUCGCUAGGAGAGGCGUAGAGGAUAAUUCUUUAGAAGACAUUUAAUUUUUAUAUUAAAUGUAAUAAAGUGUUUUUUAUGUGUUUAUUUUCUUUUUUACAUUGUU